CCUAGUUAAUCCUACCAGUAGUCAUAUGAUUGUUUCAAUGAUUAAGCCAUGCAUGUGUAAGUAUGAACUAAUUCAUAUUGUGAAACUACAAAAGGCUUAUUAAAUCACUUAUAGUUUGUUUGAUGGUAUAUAAUACCCAGACAACCAUUAUAAUUCUAGAGCUAAUAAGUGCAACAAGCCAUGACUUUUGGAAGGGAUGCAUUUAUAAGAUAAAAGGUUAAUGCACGCUUUGCUCAUUGCUAUAAUGAUUCAUGAUAACUCGACAGAUCACAUGACCUUUCUGUUGGCGAGGCAACAUUCAAAUUUUUGUCUUAUCAACUUUUGAAGGUAAGAUAGUAGCCUACUAUAGUGGUGAUAAGUGAUGGAGAACUAGGGUUCCAUUCUAGAAAAGGAGCCUAAGAAAUGACUACCACAUUCAAGAAAGGUAGCAAGUGCAUAAAUUACCCAAUCUUGACAUGAGGAGGUAGUGGUAAUAAAUAACAAUAUCAUGCUCUAUGAGUCUAGUAAUUAGAAUAAGUACAAUCUAAUUCCCUUAACAAAAAUCCAUUGAAAGGCAAGUUUGGUGGUAGUAGUCGUGGUAAUUCUAGUUCAAUAGCAUAUAUUUAAAUUGAUGUAGUCAAAAAGCUUGUAGUUAGAACUAGGGUUAGGUUGUCUGGUUUGCCUCAUGGUGAGCAUUGGUCUACUUGUCCCUACUAUCAAUAAUGCACUUCUGGCCUUAAAUGGCCAGCCAUUCCUUUGACAUUAUUGCUUUGAAGAAAUUAGAGUGCUCAAAGCAAGCCUAUGCUUGUAGACAUUAGCAUGGGAUAACAUCAUAGGAUUUUGGUCUUAUACGUUGGCCUUUUGGUUCAAAGUAAUGAUUAACAAAAAUAGUUGGGCGCAUUCGUAUUUCAUAAUCAAAGGUGAAAUUCUUGAAUUUUUGAAAGACGAACAAUUGUAAAAGCAUUUGCCAAGGAUGUUUCCAUUAAUCAAGAAUAGAAGUUGAGGGUUUUAAAGAUGAUCAGAUACCGUCCUAGUCUUAAUUAUAAAUGAUGCUGACUAGGGAUCAAUAGAUGUUACUUUUAAAACUUCAUCGACACCUUAUGAAAAAUCAAAGUCUUUGGGUUUCAAGGGGAGUAUGGUCGCAAGGUUGAAACUUAAAUGAAUAGAUAAAAGGGUAACACAAGGAUUGGAGCCUAUGGCUUAAAUUGACUCAACAUGUGAAACUUACUGGGUCUAGACAUAGUAAGGAUUAAUUGAGUGAAAACUCUUUCUUGAUUCUAUAGAUGGUAAUGCAUGGCCAUUUUUAGUUAGUGGAGUGAUUUGUUUGGUUAAUUUCAUUAAUGAAUGAGACCUUAGCCUAUAACUAGCUAUGUGGAGGUGAUCCUUCAUGACUAGCGACCAGCUCGAGCUCGAGCCUUUGAUAUGCCUGCAAAGAUGUCGUUGCUGUGAUCAUAGAAUGCAAUACAUGCUAUAUCAGCGUGCCUUGGCAUCUAUAUGCUCUCGGUGUCAACUUAUGGGCUUCUUAUUCAGCCUAUCUUAAAACAUAGACCAAUGAGUCUGACAUGUGUGCAAGUCAACAAGCUAGAAAAACUAUAAGGUGCAAGGAAGCUAAUUGACGGGAUCCCUUUUGGGUGCAUCGCUG
rnacentral:rRNA from 1 species